UGGGCCGUCGUCAAGCGGUAAGACACAUGGUUUUGGUCCAUGCAUUCAGGGGUUCGAAUCCUCUCGGCCCAGCCA
rnacentral:tRNA from 1 species